UGGCAUUUGUGCUUUCACCACAGCAGCA
rnacentral:piRNA from 1 species